AUGGAAGGGUCUGCAGGUGAGGGGUGGGGAUGUGCUGCCUCCCUUUCGGUGGAGCGGUGUUUCUUUCUAUAUAUUCUUGGCGGCGGCUCUUGGCGGCAUGGAGCAGCGGAGGCUUGGCGUCAGAUGUGUGGUGAUGGACACGCGCAGGAGGUCGACGUUGUCUGGCGUCGUGGUGGCGUCGGCGGCAGCGAGACCGGGCAAGGCCGAUGCAACAGUAAAGCUCUGAAGAUGGAUAUGUGGCAGGUGGCUGUGGCGGCCUCAUACCCGGCAGGCGUCCUGGUUGAGGAGCACGUCGGACUGGUGGGUGCCCAUACCCGGCAGGCGUCCUGCUUGGGACCUUAG
rnacentral:rRNA from 1 species